GCAAAGGGCCGGGAACACGGUGAAUACGAGUACGGCUGCAGGGAGAUCUCCCGUGCCGGGAACAGCCUCACCACAACGCGCUGCCAGCCCAAGGGGCAGGGGCUGUACCCAACAGAGUCCAGGAGAUCCCUGGAGAAAAGGAGAAUUCUCAUCCAGGUCUGUUAAAAGUGGCUCUCAGCACAAGAAACUAAAUGACGUUCCUGUCAAACACACAGUCUUUCUCCCAUAUUUAGUUUUGCAGAUUUCUCAUGCAAAUAUGUGUACCUUCUGAGGGACUCAGGAUUAAAAAUCCUGUUCCAGUUGCUCCCCCUGAAUACAGAGCAGUCAUAUGUCUCAACUGAUCAUGUGGUCUUUCCAGUUCUGUCCAGCCACUGUCCAGCACGGUGGCAGCACAUGUUAUGGUCAGGAACAACCCCGCAGAGGUCAUUAUAAUGCUGACAUACAUUCAGAUUCACCUACAAAUUUACAUACGUAUCUGUCCUACAAACCACCCUAAAGCAUGCUUGCUUUCAUUAUACAGGCACAGAAAUAAUGUCUAGCCUGUUAUUUAUCUCACUGAAAUAACUGGUGGCCAUGAAGGAGAUCCAAGGUGAUCUCAGCUUCCCAGGGCAGCUCCUAAAACAGUACGGAUACAUAUUUGUGUCCCUCAUUUCGGUUCCAGGCCAGGAGUGCCUGGUGAUGGACCUUUCCAGCCUGAGGCAGGGAAGGAGCAGGGCUUGUCUUUGUUUGAUCCCUCUGGGACACAACAGGGUCCUUCCAAAGCAGGAUUCAGUUGCCAGGGGAAGGCACUCACUGCUCAAAGCCUCAGCAGCUUUAUAGUCUGUUUGUGCAUUAAGUUUGGAGUUCAUGUUUAAAGAUUAGCAAACAUUGAGAAGUUACAAAUCCUUAGAGAAAUGUAACUGACUUGCCUGUAAGAGCCUGUAGAAAUUAUAAAGAAGGUGCUGAAAAAUAUUCAAAAUAAGUUACUUGGUCACAAAGCAGUGAUACACAGAUGCCAGUGGGCUUCUAGUCCAUGUUUCACCAAGCAGUUUUCCAACUCCAUUUUUAUAAGCAUCUCCACUGUGACCAGAAACUUAAGAGUUGAUUUUUUGCUGAUUAACCUUCAUUGACUAUGAAAAGGAAGUUCCUGAAGGAAUAAGGCCUUGCUAGUAACUUAGGCAACAGAUCUGCCUGCCUCUUUAGUCUUUCUCUGGAAACCCAGCCAAUGCAAAGCUUAAAUUAGUCACAACUGCACUGAGUUAAUGACUGCAGCCCUUUGGUCUCCGAGGCAAAGAUUUCAUCCUGAAAAAACCCUCCCUCCAGCCACGGUCAGGUGGCAUAAAACAUUAUGGAAAAGCCACGACUAGCACAGCAAAAUGCAGAUUUGCUGGAGCAGAACACUGAGGAAUGAGGCAUCCGGGGACUGAUGUUCCCCCUGCCCCCCGUGACAUCUAGCAUCUCACAUGAACCGAGGGUAACCAGCCACCCUGCCCUGCUGAGUCUGCAAGAGCGGGCCCUAGCGCCGGUCAGCUCGGGGUGGUUUAGGAGCCAAGCUGCGGAAGGUCAUGUUCCUCCAGCGCCAGCACCGGGAACUGCAGCAGCCCGAGCGGCUCUGCAGAGCUGCAAGGUCCUUCUGCAGUGACACAAGAGACUCCGGCGCAACAGGCUCCUGGGAAAUGUAGUCUGUCACCAAGGCUGCUCUGUGCCUGAAAACCGGCACUGCAGACAGUUUGCAAAAUGGAGAUCAACACCCCGCCCUAUUUGUCACAGCUGACGUAUGUGAGCUUGAUCUUCUGCACCUACAAAUAACAUGUAAGAUCCCAAGGUAUUUCAAAAUGACUGUUUAAUGAAGAACAUGCACCUAAUUUUCACAGCUCUUAACCCCCUACUAUCAGGUAUUUCCUAUAUUUCUGCUGUGCUACUUUUACUGUAUUGCCUGUCUGCACAGGUAGAAAGGUUCCUGUUUGUGCACCUCUUCCUGUAUAGGAAGUGAGUUAAACUGUUUUUGUGUCGGAACUCAGAAUGUCCCACAGACAUUCUCGGACGUUCCAGACCCAGGUCAAAAGCAUCUGAGACCCUGGCAUGCAGCCAGAGACCCCUGUGGUUUUGAAUCUGA